CCCGCCCUUAAUCUGAGUGGACACCAUCUAAUCAGCCACCAGCCCAGCUGGAAUAUAAAGCAGGCAGAAAAACGUGAAAAGACUGGCCUAGCCUCCCAGCCUACAUCUUUCUCCCAUGCUGGAUGCUUCCUGCCCUCAAACACUGGACUCCAGGUUCUUGUUUUGGGACUUGGACUGGCUCUCCUUGCUCCUCAGCUUACAGAUGCCUAUUGUAGGACCUUGUGAUAGUCAGAAAGGAGAUGUGUGUAUGAGUUCUGCAGAAGUCCACCAAAUGUGGGCCAGGGUUAUUUCCCUGGUGAUGCUCUGAAGCUUUUGCCAAAGGACAAAUGGAAACAGGAAGUACAAUCAUGCACUGGGGUAAAGAAGAUUCAUCUGCUCUUAGCUACCUACCAUGCCAACACUCCUGAGAAAGCUCACAGAGGCCCAUGAUGCCCACCUGGAUCUGAGGACCUAGAAAGCCACAACAGGCAACCAUAAUCUGGGUCUUCCCUCAGCCAACUCCCCUGCAUAAAGUGAAUGAAUGAAAAACCCAUCUUAUAUUAAUCAGAGUUCUCUAGAGAAAAAGAACCAAUCAGAUGUGUAUAUAUAGAAAGAGAGAAUUAUUUUAGGGAAUUAGCUCACAUCAUUAUGCAGGCUGGUCAAUCAAAAAUCUGUGGAGUGGGCUAGCAGGCUGGAGACCCAGGGAAAGGCUAAAUUGCAGUUUAGAUCAGAAGGUCAUCUACUGGCAGAAUUCCCUCAUCUUCCAGGAAGGUGGAUCUUUUUCUACCAAGGCCUUCAGUUUAUUAGAUUAGGCCCAUGAACAUGCUGGAGGGUAAUCUGCUUUACUCAAUACAUACUGAUUUGAAUGUUAGUAUCAUCAAAAAGACCUUCACAGAAACAUCUAAAAUAAUGUUUGACCAAAUGUCUGCAUACCAUGGCCAAGCCAAGUUUACACAUAAAAUUAAUUAUCACACAUCCCACGAACACCAUCCCCAACAGAUGCUCAUGAGCAUUGUGGUUAUGAUUUCAACUUCAGAAUAAGGCAGAAAUGUGUACAAAUCCUGACCCUUUGACUUAUCAGCUCUCUAAAAAUCAUUAUAUGUCAACUUUCUAGACUUUACCUGAAAAACAGAAACCAAGAUACCCACAGCAUAAGAUUGUUAGGAUUGAAGAAAUUGUUACGAUUGUUAGGUAUGAAGAAAUUUAAACAAUGAUGCAGCUGAGAUAUUUAGAAUUGUACCUGGCAUGUACUUUGUAUUAAAUAACUAAUAAGGCCUUUUUCUGGUGAAAACAAAAUAAGCCUGGAUAAAAGAAGAUGAGACCAGAUUGGUUGAUGGCUCGGCCUGGGUGGGCUCCUGGCCCAUCUGAAAUUACAUUACUCUUAUGUAGUGCCUUUUUUGUUAUUGCUAAAAUAAAAUAAAUAAAACACUCUACUUUCAUACUUUGUAAAAUGCACUUCUCAUUCAGUUCCUCUUCCUGUGCCUUUUCCCUAUUGUCUAUCUGCACACAGCUGUUUUCUUCUGCACAUUUUCAUCACAGAGAAUUACCAGGUGUAGGUCAAAAGAUGCCACAGAGAUAACAAAGGAAAGGAAAAGCUUUUCUGCACUUCUAUCCUUGUAAGCACAAAAAUUAAUCACACUUUCAGUAAACAGGUCAGGUAAGUCAGUCCUGCACUUGAACCUUUUCUCCCCAAAUAAAUAGUUGAAAUGGGAAUGUCGAUUUCUGUAUUUGAACAGAAAUGUAUUAGUGUAGCUUUCAAAAGAAGACUACUCUCUCCAUAUGAAUAUCAUCAGACCCACAAAUACACAUAUGCAUACAUUCACAGUUCAUCCUAACGCUGCAGAAUAUUCUAAGAGUAACACAUUUCUGUACAAAUCAAGCAGCAGCUUUCACUUGCAUGCUAAUCUUCAAAUUAAUUCUGCAAUGAUCCAUUCAUUCCACAUCCCAACCUACAUCCUCAGAAAAACAAAGAUGUAAGUAAGGAACUCAGUAUAACAUGUUUGACUUUAGACACUACUCAAAUAUACUCAAACUUUAUAUGAAUAUGGAUAUUGCUCCUAGAUUAGGCAGUUCAGAAAACAAAUCUUGAUUAUUCUUAGUUACAAUGUAGUAUAAAAUAACAACAAUUUCAUGUCAACAACAGAAUCUCCUAAAAGAUCUUAUAAAGAUAAAAAGUCUUAGGUGUUAGUCGUCAAAGACUAAGUUGUAAAUGUAUCAUUGUAUUUGUGUAGUUAAUAAAACCCUAGACAAGAUAUGGGUUCCAGUUCUUGAACCACCACCACCUGUUCACCUUAAAUAAGUCAACUAAC
rnacentral:lncRNA from 1 species